UACGGGGGGAGCAAGCGUUGUUCGGAUUCAUUGGGCGUAAAGGGUGUGUAGGUGGCGCCGUAAGUCGGGUGUGAAAUUUCGGAGCUUAACUCCGAAACUGCAUUCGAUACUGCGGUGCUUGAGGACUGGAGAGGAGACUGGAAUUCAUGGUGUAGCAGUGAAAUGCGUAGAGAUCAUGAGGAAGACCAGUGGCGAAGGCGGGUCUCUGGACAGUUCCUGACACUGAGGCACGAAGGCCAGGGGAGCAAACGGG
rnacentral:rRNA from 1 species